GGAUGGGAUGCUACAUUGUUAAUGGUCGG
rnacentral:tRNA from 1 species